GCUGUGAUGGCCGAGUGGCUUAAUAAUUACGGCGUUGGACUUGAAAUCCAAUGGGGCAUUGCCCGCGCAGGUUCGAACCCUGCUCGCAGCG